rnacentral:sRNA from 15 species
UUGACUCUCAAAUGAGAAUCGUUAUGAUUAUCACAACUGGUCGCGAGAUCAGCCGAUAACUGAAAGACCAUUGGUUCGGACUCUCAGAUUAUCUCCUCAUCAGGCUAAUCACGGUUAUUUGACCCGGCUCUUGCCGGGUCUUUUUUUG